AUUGAACGCUGGCGGAAGGCCUAACACAUGCAAGUCGCGCGGAGCGGCGGACGGGAGAGUAAUGCCGAGGAAUCUGCCUGGUAGUGGGGGAUAACGUCCGGAAACGGGCGCAAAUACCGCCUCCUAGCAGAUGAGCCUAGCACGGAUGUGCUAGUUGGUGGGGAAAAGGCAUCACAAGGCUAGGGUCCGUAACUGGUAGGAGAGGAUGAUCAGUCACACGGGAACUGAGACACGGUCCAGACUCCUACGGGAGGCAGCAGUGGGGAAUAUUGGACAAUGGGCGCAAGCCUUAUCCAGCCAUGCCGCGUGUGUGAAGAAGGUCUUCGGAUUGUAAAGCACUUUAAGUUGGGAGGCGUUACCAACAGAAGAAGCACCGGCUAACUUCGUGCCAGCAGCCGCGGUAAGAC
rnacentral:rRNA from 1 species